rnacentral:misc_RNA from 1 species
GGGGAUUGUUUUGGCUUUUGAUUGCUUGCUUGGUGUCAUGCCGGGUGGGUGGUUUUUAGCCAGACAUUCUUCGGGGAUGUCUACCGUAAAGGUGCAUGAGUGGUGUUUGGCUUGUUACGGGUGGUUGGAUGUCUGUUUGCGCAGCAACUUCCACGCGUUCAUGCCUCUUCAGUUGUGCUACAAGGCUUUAUUUGUCUUGUGCAUCGAGUGGGUUUUUGUGUUGCAUACCUAAAGAAGGCAUCGUUUGGCUGGAUAAAAGUUUAUUCGUAAUGCGUCGCUUGCGGCGUUGAACGAACCUUGAAGCGGUCUUUAUGGUCCAUGUUGUUGUUGCAUUCGCAUUGAUGGCAUGGCUCGUGGAGUGCCGUUUGGUCUUUAGAAUAUGGAACCUAAUGUGGGCUGUAGGGUCUUUAAUGAUCCUAUGCUUGUCCUCGUUUAGCGUUCUCGCUUCUAUAAACGACCGUCCGUCAUGUUCGUGCAUGAUGGGCUGUGUCGAAGAGGAUUGC